rnacentral:rRNA from 1 species
GGGUUGUGAGGUUAAGCGAAUAAGCGUACACGGUGGAUGCCUAGGCAAUCAGAGGCGAUGAAGGACGUGCUAAUCUGCGAAAAGCGUCGGUAAGGUGAUAUGAACCGUUAUACCCGACGAUAUCCGAAUGGGGAAACCCAGUAUCCAAUGGAUACUAUCAUUAACUGAAUCCAUAGGUUAAUGAGGCGAACCGGGAGAACUGAAACAUCUCAGUACCCCGAGGAAAAGAAAUCAACCGAGAUUCCCCUAGUAGCGGCGAGCGAACGGGGAGCAGCCCAGAGUCUUAAUCAAUAACAGUGUCAGGAGAACGGUCUGGAAAGUCCGGCAGUAAAGGGUGAUAGCCCCGUAUCUGAAGAUGCUGUUAUUGUGAACUCGACGAGUAGGGCGGGACACGUGUUAUCCUGUCUGAAUAUGGGGGGACCAUCCUCCAAGGCUAAAUACUCCUGAUUGACCGAUAGUGAACCAGUACCGUGAGGGAAAGGCGAAAAGAACCCCGGCGAGGGGAGUGAAAAAGAACCUGAAACCGUGUACGUACAAGCAGUAGGAGCCUCUUUAUGGGGUGACUGCGUACCUUUUGUAUAAUGGGUCAGCGACUUAUAUUCUGUAGCAAGGUUAACCGCAUAGGGGAGCCGUAGGGAAACUGAGUCUUAACUGGGCGAAUGAGUUGCAGGGUAUAGACCCGAAACCCGGUGAUCUAUCCAUGGGCAGGUUGAAGGUUGGGUAACACUAACUGGAGGACCGAACCGACUAAUGUUGAAAAAUUAGCGGAUGACUUGUGGAUGGGGGUGAAAGGCCAAUCAAACCGGGAGAUAGCUGGUUCUCCCCGAAAGCUAUUUAGGUAGCGCCUCGUGAACUCAUCUUCGGGGGUAGAGCACUGUUUCGACUAGGGGGUCAUCCCGACUUACCAACUCGAUGCAAACUGCGAAUACCGAAGAAUGUUAUCACGGGAGACACACGGCGGGUGCUAACGUCCGUCGUGAAGAGGGAAACAACCCAGACCGCCAGCUAAGGUCCCAAAGUCAUGGUUAAGUGGGAAACGAAGUGGGAAGGCUCAGACAGCCAGGAUGUUGGCUUAGAAGCAGCCAUCAUUUAAAGAAAGCGUAAUAGCUCACUGGUCGAGUCGGCCCGCGCGGAAGAUGUAACGGGGCUAAACCAUGCACCGAAGCUGCGGCAGCGACACAAAGUGUUGUUGGGUAGGGGAGCGUUCUGUAAGCCUGCGAAGGUGUACUGUGAGGUAUGCUGGAGGUAUCAGAAGUGCGAAUGCUGACAUAAGUAACGAUAAUGCGGGUGAAAAACCCGCACGCCGGAAGACCAAGGGUUCCUGUCCAACGUUAAUCGGGGCAGGGUGAGUCGACCCCUAAGGCGAGGCUGAAAAGCGUAGUCGAUGGGAAACGGGUUAAUAUUCCCGUACUGGUGGUAACUGCGAUGGGGGAACGGAGAAGGCUAGGUUGUCCGGGCGACGGUCGUCCCGGUUCAAGCAGGUAGGCAGAGUGAUUAGGCAAAUCCGGUCACUUAAUGCUGAGAUGUGAUGACGAACCACUAAGGUGGUGAAGCAAUUGAUGCCCCGCUUCCAGGAAAAGCCUCUAAGCUUCAGGUUACCAACAAUCGUACCCCAAACCGACACAGGUGGUCAGGUAGAGAAUACUCAGGCGCUUGAGAGAACUCGGGUGAAGGAACUAGGCAAAAUGGUGCCGUAACUUCGGGAGAAGGCACGCUGGCGGUAGGUAAAGUCCCUUGCGGACGGCGCUGAAGCCAGUCGAAGAUACCAGCUGGCUGCAACUGUUUAUUAAAAACACAGCACUGUGCAAACACGAAAGUGGACGUAUACGGUGUGACGCCUGCCCGGUGCUGGAAGGUUAAUUGAUGGGGUCAGCCGUAAGGCGAAGCUCCUGAUCGAAGCCCCAGUAAACGGCGGCCGUAACUAUAACGGUCCUAAGGUAGCGAAAUUCCUUGUCGGGUAAGUUCCGACCUGCACGAAUGGCGUAAUGAUGGCCAGGCUGUCUCCACCCGAGACUCAGUGAAAUUGAACUCGCUGUGAAGAUGCAGUGUACCCGCGGCAAGACGGAAAGACCCCGUGAACCUUUACUAUAGCUUGACACUGAACAUUGAGCCUUGAUGUGUAGGAUAGGUGGGAGGCUUUGAAGUGUGGACGCCAGUCUGCAUGGAGCCAACCUUGAAAUACCACCCUUUAACGUUUGAUGUUCUAACCUAGGCCCAUAAACUGGGUCGGGGACCGUGUCUGGUGGGUAGUUUGACUGGGGCGGUCUCCUCCUAAAGAGUAACGGAGGAGCACGAAGGUUGGCUAAGCAUGGUCGGACAUCAUGCGGUUAGUGCAAAGGCAUAAGCCAGCUUGACUGCGAGAGUGACGGCUCGAGCAGGUACGAAAGUAGGUCUUAGUGAUCCGGUGGUUCUGAAUGGAAGGGCCAUCGCUCAACGGAUAAAAGGUACUCCGGGGAUAACAGGCUGAUACCGCCCAAGAGUUCAUAUCGACGGCGGUGUUUGGCACCUCGAUGUCGGCUCAUCACAUCCUGGGGCUGAAGUAGGUCCCAAGGGUAUGGCUGUUCGCCAUUUAAAGUGGUACGCGAGCUGGGUUUAGAACGUCGUGAGACAGUUCGGUCCCUAUCUGCCGUGGGCGUUGGAAGAUUGAGAGGGGUUGCUCCUAGUACGAGAGGACCGGAGUGAACGCACCACUGGUGUUCGGGUUGUCAUGCCAAUGGCAUUGCCCGGUAGCUAAGUGCGGAAGAGAUAACCGCUGAAAGCAUCUAAGCGGGAAACUUGCCUCGAGAUGAGUCUUCCCUGUCGCUUUAAGUGACCUAAAGGAACGUUUAAGACUAAGACGUUGAUAGGCUGGGUGUGUAAGCGUAGCGAUACGUUGAGCUAACCAGUACUAAUGAACCGUGAGGCUUAACCUGACAACACCGAAAGUGUUUUG